UACGUAGGGUCUGAGCGUUGUCCGGAGUUACUGGGCGUAAAGGGCGCGCAGGCGGCGGUGCUGGCCCGGCGUGAAAGCCCCCGGCUCAACCGGGGAAGGGCGUCGGGGACCGCACCGCUUGAGGGCGGUAGGGGCUGGUGGAAUGCCUGGUGUAGUGGUGAAAUGCGUAGAGAUCAGGCGGAACACCCGUGGCGAAGGCGGCCAGCUGGGCCGACCCUGACGCUGAGGAGCGAAAGUGUGGGGAGCGAACAGG
rnacentral:rRNA from 1 species